rnacentral:rRNA from 1 species
UACAGAGGUCUCAAGCGUUGUUCGGAUUCAUUGGGCGUAAAGGGUGCGUAGGCGGGUCUUUAAGUCAGGGGUGAAAUCCUGGAGCUCAACUCCAGAACUGCCUUUGAUACUGAGGAUCUUGAGUCCGGGAGAGGUGAGUGGAACUGCGAGUGUAGAGGUGAAAUUCGUAGAUAUUCGCAAGAACACCAGUGGCGAAGGCGGCUCACUGGCCCGGUACUGACGCUGAGGUGCGAAAGCGUGGGGAGCAAACAGG